CAAGACCAGAGGGCGACCUCACUGCGUGUGGUGUCCCCCAAAUCUUGGGGUCUAGCAGGACAGAUGGAGAAGGACAGCACGGUGGCAGGAAAGUCAUUCGCCUCCUGCUGUGAGCAACCGCCAGACCACGGCUGCCCUUCAGGAUUGCUGAAGACGGGAUUCCAGAUCAAGAGCCCCUAACUCGCAUCCCCGGUCCUCAGAGGCACCGAUUCUGAUCCCUGCCCAGAAACCAGUUCUGGUUGUACAGGAUGUUCGCGUUUCUGCAAGUCUUCAUGCAGCCGAGUUUCAGUUCUGGCAGCAAAUACCCAGGUUUUAGCCAACUUCUCUGAGCCCACUCUGACGCCUGUGAAACGACGGGGGCCAGGCUGUGUCUCUCAAGUCCCAAGCUCCUCUCUCUUGCUACCCGCUCCCUACACAGAACCAUCACCACGCUCUUUGUGUGGGUGUUAAGGAGGAGGGGAAAGAAGGGACUGGAAAUAAAAAGAGCCCUGGGGUUUCCAGGUGGCAUUGAAUGAGCCA